AAAUGGACCAGUUUUGUUAUUUGUUAUGAAAAGAGAUCAUUAUUGUUCACGGAUAUUGAGGUUGUGAUAAAUUUUUUAGCUCCAGCAUAGUCUCUAGGGUUCUACCUUAUGAAGUGUGCGGCCGUGUCACGCGCCUGGGCUUGGGUGUUGGGUUCGAGGUGUGACAAUAGCAUGUGCCAGAGCAGUUGACAUCCAUAUCGUGUAUCAAUUGAAUGUGUUUAACCCAAUUGUAGUGUAUUUCUUUGAUCUUUCUUUCCUUCCUCAUACAAAUUCAAGGAGGCAAAUUUCUUGACUUCAAACAAAAUUACAAGUUGCUUUCCCUGCUUCCACUUAAACAGAUUACGCCAAUUAUAGAUUCGGGAUGCUGCGAAAAUCACAGAGAGGCUGAAGUAAGGCUAGCUGGGCUACUCUCCUUAAACCAGUAAAGACCAAAAACAUUGUUAACAAUAUCACCAUCUUAAGCCCCAAGAUUUUCACAUUAGCCAGAAUGCUUAGGAA
rnacentral:lncRNA from 1 species